AGAGUUUGAUCCUGGCUCAGGACGAACGCUGGCGGCGUGCCUAACACAUGCAAGUCGAGCGGGGAACUUCGGUUCCCAGCGGCGGACGGGUGAGUAACACGUGGGUAACCUGCCUCAAAGAGGGGGAUAGCCUCCCGAAAGGGAGAUUAAUACCGCAUAACAUUAUUUUCUCGCAUGAGAAGAUAAUCAAAGGAGCAAUCCGCUUUGAGAUGGACCCGCGGCACAUUAGCUAGUUGGUGAGGUAACGGCUCACCAAGGCGACGAUGCGUAGCCGGCCUGAGAGGGUGAACGGCCACAUUGGAACUGAGAUACGGUCCAGACUCCUACGGGAGGCAGCAGUGGGGAAUAUUGCACAAUGGGCGAAAGCCUGAUGCAGCAACGCCGCGUGAGUGAUGAAGGCCUUCGGGUUGUAAAGCUCUGUCUUCUGGGACGAUAAUGACGGUACCAGAGGAGGAAGCCACGGCUAACUACGUGCCAGCAGCCGCGGUAAUACGUAGGUGGCAAGCGUUGUCCGGAUUUACUGGGCGUAAAGGAUGCGUAGGCGGAUACUUAAGUCAGAUGUGAAAAUCCCGGGCUUAACUUGGGAACUGCAUUUGAAACUGGGUAUCUAGAGUGUGGGAGAGGAAAGUGGAAUUCCUAGUGUAGCGGUGAAAUGCGUAGAGAUUAGGAAGAACACCAGUGGCGAAGGCGACUUUCUGGACCAUAACUGACGCUGAGGCAUGAAAGCGUGGGGAGCAAACAGGAUUAGAUACCCUGGUAGUCC
rnacentral:rRNA from 1 species